GCAAUUAAUUUCGAAAUGUACUUUUGCAACUAACUUCUAUCUUAAUUUUCUCCAUUCCCUUAUUAUUUAUUGAUUUUGCACUCUGCAAAGGCAAAAACGCCACACGCAAUUGAAAUCUGGAUUGAACCCAACCAUGCCUUCUUUCACUUCUCUUCCUCCGUGGCUAUGCCUAUGGCUGGUGCUGGCCGUGAUUGUGUUCACGGCCACACCAUCUCCGGCACGUGCCUCGGUGGUGGAGUUGGAAGGAGAAGGAUUGAGGUCUCAGCGAGAGUUUGAUUAUUUCGUGUUGGCGUUGCAAUGGCCUGGCACUUACUGUCAUCGCACCAGCCAUUGCUGUUCCUCUAAUGCUUGCUGCAGAGGCUCCAAUUCUCCAACAAUUUUCACUAUACAUGGACUCUGGGCUGACUAUAAUGAUGGAACCUGGCCAGCCUGUUGCUCUGGGCCUAGUUUUAAUCCCAAAGAGAUAUCGACUUUGACUAAUGCUUUAGAGCAAUAUUGGCCGUCAUUGAGCUGUAGCUCGCCAUCAACGUGCCAUGGUGGGAAAGGUUCAUUUUGGGCUCACGAGUGGGAGAAACAUGGCACAUGCUCUUAUCCUGUGAUUCGGAAUGAAUAUGAUUAUUUCCUGACAACGCUGAAUGUCUACUUCAAAUAUAAUGUUACGAGUGUUCUAAAUGAUGCUGGAUAUGUUCCGUCUAAUACAGAGAAGUAUCCCCUUGGAGGCAUUAUCUCUGCCAUUGAGAAUGCUUUUCAUGCAUCUCCUUUAAUAGUUUGCUCAAAAGAUUCUAUUGAGGAACUUCGCCUAUGCUUUUAUAAGGACUUCAAGCCACGAGAUUGCGCUGUUGGACCUAACAUUAAAAUUGACAUGGUUACUUCAAAAGGAUCUUGUCCCAAAUAUGUUCGCUUGCCUGAACUCGUAUCAGCACAUUGUGAACUGAUUUAUACAUAUGGCUCCUUUGUUAUUUUGGAUCAUCUAAGCAAGAAGCUUGAUAUCACUUUUCCACCAACAUUCUACUGUGUGUUAUAAUGAGAAAGAAAACAUUUUUUGCCUUUGUAUGACAGAAGAAAUUUCAUUAAAGGGAUAAAAAAAAAAUACAACUAGGGUUGUGAAUGCGAUACUGAUAAGAAAUCCUGCAAAUAAGGCUCAAUUCACCAUGUAGUGAACUAAAUAUAAAACAAGGCUUCCCAAUCUUUGCAAAUCCGGGAUAUUGACAACCUUGAAGCAGUCCUGGGUAUAAAACCACUAAGUUGCCAAAAAACUGUGUGGGGAUAAAAAUAUUACUUUAAAACAAGUUUGUCUCUCUCCAACUGUGCCAGGAUCCUUACCCUCUCUAGUAGAUCACCUGGCUGAAAAUAACUAGCAGAAUGGGGAAUUUUUUUUUGUUGGUGUAAUAUCAUUAUGGAGGUUUGAACGUAUGACAUCCGCAAACUACUCUAAUCCCUCACCACUAGCUCAAUCAUAGUGGCUUUGAGUGUGAAUCUCAGUGCUGAGGAGGAUGCCUAUGGUAAAUGGUAAACAGGUGCCCAGAAGUGGGGUUUUUUGCCUGUGUAGGGUUAAAUCAAAGACAUUUUAUCCGUAUGGGGUUGUUUGACGAAAAAUUCCCUGGCUAGGGUGAUUUGUGAGUGUCGUAAAAAAUGUUGGCGACACAUGAUCAAGUAUCAGCUGAAAGAAUGCCGACAAGUGCCAGACCCGACUUCUGAGAGCGGUUACUUUCAAACCGCUCUCUUAAAUGAGGGCAUGAUGGACUUCAAAGGCGGGUCUUUGAUGACGCAGCUCUUUAAGGUGAUGGCACUGUACCUUUUGUAAAUUUAACCUUGCGAUUGGACAAAGCCACAUGAAUAAAUUUGUUUGGAUGCUGUACCAUUUAUCAAUUGGAGACACACAUGUAAGUGAAGAAGACAUUUGGGUUGAAAUCUAGACCUGCUAAAGUUUAUCCAGAAAACUGAAGUGAUGUAUUUGUGGGUUUUAUCAUUUUCCUUAUUAUUGAAGGAAUGUACAACUGUAUAAUGGAUAUGUUGUAUCAUAAGGAAUUGCGAGUAUAUAUUUUUCCUUAAUAUCAUCAUUAUAUACUAUGCCUACAUCUCCGCU